rfam:Lactobacillus parafarraginis F0439 genomic scaffold Scfld2177, whole genome shotgun sequence.
GAGCCGUUAGCUCAGUUGGUAGAGCAUCUGACUUUUAAUCAGAGGGUCGGCAGUUCGAGACUGCCACGGCUCA